rnacentral:rRNA from 1 species
UACAGAGGUCCCAAGCGUUGUUCGGAUUCACUGGGCGUAAAGGGUGCGUAGGCGGUUCUGAAAGUCUGAUGUGAAAUCUCCGGGCCCAACCCGGAAAUGGCAUUAGAAACUACAGGGCUAGAGGCUUGGAGGGGGAACUGGAAUUCUCGGUGUAGCAGUGAAAUGCGUAGAGAUCGAGAGGAACACCAGUGGCGAAGGCGAGUUCCUGGACAAGUCCUGACGCUGAGGCACGAAAGCCAGGGGAGCAAACAGG